rnacentral:rRNA from 1 species
AUUGAACGCUGGCGGCAGGCCUAACACAUGCAAGUCGAACGAGUGGCGGACGGGUGAGUCAUGUCUGGGAAACUGCCUGAUGGAGGGGGAUAACUACUGGAACCGGUAGCUAAUACCGCAUACCAUCAGAUGUGCCCAGAUGGGAUUAGCUAGUUGGUGGGGUAACGGCUCACCAAGGCGACGAUCCCUAGCUGGUCUGAGAGGAUGACCAGCCACACUGGGACUGAGACACGGGACCGACUCCUACGGGAGGCAGAAGUGGGGAAGAUUGCACAAUGGGCGAAAGGCUGAUGCAGCCAUGCCGCGUGUAUGAAGAAGGCCUACGGGUUGUAAAGUACUUUAAGCGGGGAGGCGUUACCAGCAGAAGAAGCACCGGCUAACUCCGUGCCAGCAGCCGCGGUAAUUC